ACGGCGGAAAGGCGCCGGGAGCGAUUGCCAGAUCGCGCGCGGGGCCCCGCGCGCCCCGUCCCCCGCCCACCUCCGCGAGUACUUCACCCAACAAGUCCCGGGGGCGCAGACCCACCUCCUCCUCCAGGGUACCGCUGGAGCCCGAGCCCGUGCCGGUGCCCGUGCUGGUGCCGUGCUCGCCGUCCGGCUUCAGGUGCCCUUUGGAACCUGAGAAAAGGAUCCCACCCUCGCCAUUGUGGAAGGAAGGAGGAUGCUCACAGUAGAGGGUACACUACAGAAGACAACUGAGUGCGGGCCCACCUGCCCAGCCGCACAGCUUGCAGCAGAGAGAUGAAGGUCUCGUCCGUCUGCCUCCACACCUCUGUCAGCUCCAGGGUCACUGGGACACAUCUCCUCCAGCUCUUGGCCUGGUGGGGGCAAGUGGGGCGUCAGGGAGCAGAGCAGACCCCCAUGGGGGUUAGGGCCAGAGGGUACGUUCACUGGCUUAUAUGCAGCCAAGCAGGUCUCACUAUUCCCCGUGUACAGAAGUGGAAAACAGGCUGAGAGAGGCCACAACGGCUGGUAGGAGUCAGGGCUUGUGUGAUUCUGAAGCCCCGGCGCUUCCCAUCUCCAAGGUGGGAUGGGGUAGAAAAUAUUUGGCUAGGGAAAUCGCGGAGGGACUCUGGCGUCCGGGUUUCCGUUCACCCUCCGUCUGACCCACUCGUACGCACCCUCCCGGUAGGGACCCCUUGAAGAAGCAGGCGCUCUGCCUCCCACCUCUAGGAUCGGGUGAACACUCACUUGCGCCAGCACUCGGACGAACAAGCUGAGCAAUGUCGGCAUGCAGUCAAAAGUAGGACACUAGAAACUUUCAAAUACUGGGUGUAGAGAAUCACCCUAUCACCGGCCGGAUCUUUAAAUUUUCCAGCCAAUCAGAGACAGCGGGCGUGACAACGGGAGUGUCUUUCUUUGGGUUUCAACUCUCGGGGCUUGGGCUGUACCAAUAGCACCCCGGAGG